rnacentral:rRNA from 1 species
ACUCCUACGGGAGGCAGCAGUGGGGAAUAUUGGACAAUGGGGGCAACCCUGAUCCAGCCAUGCCGCGUGAGUGAUGAAGGCCUUAGGGUUGUAAAGCUCUUUUAUCCGGGACGAUAAUGACGGUACCGGAGGAAUAAGCCCCGGCUAACUUCGUGCCAGCAGCCGCGGUAAUACGAAGGGGGCUAGCGUUGCUCGGAAUCACUGGGCGUAAAGGGCGCGUAGGCGGUCUUUUAAGUCGGGGUGAAAGCCUGUGGCUCAACCACAGAAUUGCCUUCGAUACUGGGAGACUUGAGUUCGGAAGAGGUUGGUGGAACUGCGAGUGUAGAGGUGAAAUUCGUAGAUAUUCGCAAGAACACCGGUGGCGAAGGCGGCCAACUGGUCCGACACUGACGCUGAGGCGCGAAAGCGUGGGGAGCAAACAGGAUUAGAUACCCUGGUAGCUACGAG